GAUGAACGCUGGCGGCGUGCCUAAUACAUGCAAGUCGAGCGAACAGACGAGAGUGCUUGCACUCUCUGACGUUAGCGGCGGACGGGUGAGUAACACGUGGGUAACCUACCUAUAAGACUGGGAUAACUUCGGGAAACCGGAGCUAAUACCGGAUAAUAUUUAGCUUCGCAUGAAGCAAUAGUGAAAGACGGUUCUGCUGUCACUUAUAGAUGGACCCGCGGUGUAUUAGCUAGUUGGUGAGGUAACGGCUCACCAAGGCAACGAUACAUAGCCGACCUGAGAGGGUGGUCGGCCACACUGGGGCUGAGACACGGCCCAGACUCCUACGGGAGGCAGCAGUAGGGAAUCUUCCGCAAUGGACGAAAGUCUGACGGAGCAAUGCCGCGUGAGUGAAGAAGGUUUUCGGAUCGUAAAACUCUGUUGUAAGGGAAGAACAAGUACGUUAGUAACUGAACGUACCUUGACGGUACCUUAACAGAAAGCCACGGCUAACUACGUG
rnacentral:rRNA from 1 species